rnacentral:rRNA from 1 species
GAUGAACGCUGGCGGCGUGCCUAAUACAUGCAAGUCGAGCGAACAGACGAGGAGCUUGCUCCUCUGACGUUAGCGGCGGACGGGUGAGUAACACGUGGAUAACCUACCUAUAAGACUGGGAUAACUUCGGGAAACCGGAGCUAAUACCGGAUAAUAUAUUGAACCGCAUGUUCAAUAGUGAAAGACGGUUUUGCUGUCACUUAUAGAUGGAUCCGCGCCGCAUUAGCUAGUUGGUAAGGUAACGGCUUACCAAGGCAACGAUGCGUAGCCGACCUGAGGGGGUGAUCGGCCACACUGGAACUGAGACACGGUCCAGACUCCUACGGGAGGCAGCAGUAGGGAAUCUUCCGCAAUGGGCGAAAGCUUGACGGAGCAACGCCGCGUGAGUGAUGAAGGUCUUCGGAUCGUAAAACUCUGUUAUUAGGGAAGAACAAAUGUGUAAGUAACUAUGCACGUCUUGACGGUACCUAAUCAGAAAGCCACGGCUAACUACGUG